GGAUGUGAGGGCAAUCUAGCUGUGACAUCUGUCACCCCACUGAUCGCCAGGGUUGAUUCAGCCCAUCUGGCUGGCUAGGCGGGUGUCCCCUUCCUCCCUCACCACUCCACGUGCAUCCCUCCCGAAGCUGAGCGCUUGGUUGAAGAGGACGACCAUCCCCGAUAGAGGAGGACCGUUCUUCUCGGUCAAGGGAAUACGAGUAGCUGCAAUCCCCUGCUAGAACCUCCAAACAAGCACUCAAAAGGCAGCUGUGAAUGUUCGAAGCAUCCUCCAUUGGCCUGAACUCUCAGAGAAAU
rnacentral:snRNA from 1 species